AGAAUUCUUUAUUUUACUUAUAAAUUCAUUUUCAAAAAAUAUUUCAAUUAUUUAUUCAAUCACAAUAUAUUUGAUUGUAAUACAUAAUAACUUAUCUAUUUUGCACCUUGACCUGAUGUUUAAUAUUUUUAUUUUAAGAAUAUUAUUUUUAUUUUAAAUAAAAUCUGUCAACGGAGAUAUACAUAAAAAAGAUAAGUAAGAUCUUCGUGUAUUUUCGAUUAAAUUACAUAUUCCUUUAGAACAUUAAAUACUGUCAAAAUCUUUAAGUUUCAAUUUUACUACCUUAGAAAUAUUAAAUUAUUAAGAAUAAUAGGGUAUCUAAUCCUAGUUUCUUUCUUAAUAAUUUGUAAAAUUAUAUUUAAAUAUAUUAUAAAUUAAAGAUUUCACCCCUUUAGUUAAAUAAAA
rnacentral:rRNA from 1 species